rnacentral:rRNA from 1 species
AGAGUUUGAUCAUGGCUCAGGAUGAACGCUAGCGGAAGGCUUAAUACAUGCAAGUCGAGCGGUAGGUGGCUUCGGCCAUUGAGAGCGGCACACGGGUGAGUAACGCGUACAUGACCUGCCUGUCAGAAGGGGAUAGCCCUGGGAAACUGGGAUUAAUACCCUAUGGUAUUGAUAUUAUGAAUGAUAUCAAUUAAAGUUGAGGCGCUGACAGAUGGAUGUGCGUCUGAUUAGCUAGUUGGUAGGGUAACGGCCUACCAAGGCGACGAUCAGUAGGGGGCGUGAGAGCGUGGUCCCCCACACGGGUACUGAGACACGGACCCGACUCCUACGGGAGGCAGCAGUAAGGAAUAUUGGUCAAUGCCCGCAAGGGUGAACCAGCCAUUCCGCGUGGAGGAUGAAGGCCCUAUGGGUUGUAAACUUCUUUUAGAUGGGAAGAAAAUGCUAGAUGUAUCUGGUACUGACGGUACCAUCAGAAUAAGCACCGGCUAACUCCGUG